AGUGAACGCUGGCGGUAGGCCUAACACAUGCAAGUCGAACGGCAGCACAGUAAGAGCUUGCUCUUACGGGUGGCGAGUGGCGGACGGGUGAGGAAUACAUCGGAAUCUACUUUUUCGUGGGGGAUAACGUAGGGAAACUUACGCUAAUACCGCCUACCACCUACGGGUGAAAGCAGGGGAUCUUCUGACCUUGCGCGAUUGAAUGAGCCGAUGUCGGAUUAGCUAGUUGGCGGGGUAAAGGCCCACCAAGGCGACGAUCCGUAGCUGGUCUGAGAGGAUGAUCAGCCACACUGGAACUGAGACACGGUCCAGACUCCUACGGGAGGCAGCAGUGGGGAAUAUUGGACAAUGGGCGCAAGCCUGAUCCAGACAUACCGCGUGGGUGAAGAAGGCCUUCGGGUUGUAAAGCCCUUUUGUUGGGAAAGAAAAGCAGCAGGUUAAUACCCAGCUGUUCUGACGGUAACCAAAGAAUAAGCACCGGCUAACUUCGUG
rnacentral:rRNA from 1 species